rnacentral:rRNA from 1 species
AUACGGAGGGUGCAAGCGUUGUCCGGAUUUAUUGGGUUUAAAGGGUGUGUAGGCGGUGUAUUAAGUCAGUGGUGAAAGCCUGCGGCUCAACCGUAGAACUGCCAUUGAUACUGACACACUUGAGUAUGGACGAGGUAGGCGGAAUUUAUGGUGUAGCGGUGAAAUGCAUAGAUACCAUAAAGAACACCGACAGCGAAGGCAGCUUACUAGGCCAUAACUGACGCUGAGGCACGAAAGCGUGGGGAGCGAACAGGAUUAGAAACCCGAGUAGUCC